rnacentral:lncRNA from 1 species
CUAGAACAUUAGAGGGAGGCAGGUUGCUAUAUAUAUUGUACAAAGAGCACUGGUUUGAGAGUUAGGAAGCCCUGAUACUAGUCCCAAACUUGGCCAUGACCAAACAACGGGGGCCACUCCCGAGUUUAUUGAGCAAGCACCUGUAAGAUGAGCUGAUUGAACAAGUAGGACUCUAAGACUCCCGCUAUUACUAAAAACGUCAGGAUCUGAACAGCAUUGGGCCUGUUAUAGCCAAGGAUUUUUCUUCUUUUUUCAAAAGAAUUUAAGAAGAGAGACAUUAGGGCUAGAGUUAGAUAUAAAUAGACUUGAGGGCUUACACCUACCAUCCCUGCUAUUGGGUUGGCUAAGGCUGCUGGAUUUCUUGAGAAUAGGUGUUCUAAAUUUCCACAGGGCUAAAGCCAAUCCAGUGUCUAAACCAAAUCUAGCCCCCUAGGACAGGGAAUCGCCUGCCUGCCUAAGGAGAUGGGACAGCCAGUCCAGGUCAGAAACAGAACAUAUUAAAGCUCACAUGGUGAUCUAUCCAUGAUGAGAUCAGUCAUUUCCAGAGUGGAUGAGAUAAGGAGAAAAAGAAUGAAAGAGAAGGGAGGAAGGAAGGCAGGAAGGAGGAAGGAGGAAGGGAGGAAGGAAGGAAGAAAGAAAGGGGGAAGGGAGGAAGGAAGGGAGGAAGGAAGGAAAGAAAGAAAGAGGGAGGGAAGGAAGGAAAGAAGGAAGAAAAUAAAAGGAAGGAAGGAAGGAAGGAAGGAAGGAAGGAAGGAAGGAAGGAAGGAAGGAAGGAAGGAAGGAAGGAAGGAAGGAAGGAAGGAAGGAAAAAAGGAAAGAAGGAAGGAAAGAAGGAAGGAAGGAAGGAAGGAAGGAAGGAAGGAAGAAAAGGAGGGAG